UACAGAGGGUGCGAGCGUUGUCCGGAAUCACUGGGCGUAAAGGGCGCGUAGGCGGCUUGAUAAGGUUGCGGUGAAAGCCCGGGGCUCAACCCCGGGUCGGCCGUGGCAACUGUCGAGCUGGAGCACUGUAGAGGCAGGUGGAAUUCCGGGUGUAGCGGUGGAAUGCGUAGAGAUCCGGAAGAACACCGGUGGCGAAGGCGGCCUGCUGGGCAGUGGCUGACGCUGAUGCGCGACAGCGUGGGGGAGCAAACAGG
rnacentral:rRNA from 1 species